rnacentral:rRNA from 1 species
GAUGAACGCUGGCGGCGUGCUUAACGCAUGCAAGUCGAACGGAAAGGCUCCUGCUUGCAGGGGCACUCGAGUGGCGAACGGGUGAGUAACACGUGGGUGAUCUGCCCUGCACUUCGGGAUAAGCCUGGGAAACUGGGUCUAAUACCGGAUAGGACCAUCGUUUAGUGUCGGUGGUGGAAAGUUUUUUCGGUGUGGGAUGAGCUCGCGGCCUAUCAGCUUGUUGGUGGGGUAAUGGCCUACCAAGGCGUCGACGGGUAGCCGGCCUGAGAGGGUGUACGGCCACAUUGGGACUGAGAUACGGCCCAGACUCCUACGGGAGGCAGCAGUGGGGAAUAUUGCACAAUGGGCGCAAGCCUGAUGCAGCGACGCCGCGUGGGGGAUGACGGCCUUCGGGUUGUAAACUCCUUUCGCCAGGGACGAAGCGAAAGUGACGGUACCUGGAUAAGAAGCACCGGCUAACUACGUG